GAAUUCUCAGUCUUCUCAUGACUUGAUAUUAUUAUUUCUGCUCCAACAAAUAGAAAAUCUAAAAUCUCCCUCCUUUCAGGCAAUGCAGGCACAGCCCAGGGGUCUGGAAUGUUUCCACUGUACCACGGAGGGACCCUGAAACAGCUGUUUCAAAUAGAUGACAUGAUUAACUAGGAUCACUUUGGAACAAAGAGUAAGCCCAUCGUCAUCACAAAUGUCCUGUGAGAGAGGGAGCUGGCAGAGACCAGAGCCAGGCGAAGCCCAGGGAUGGGGCACCAAGUGGAAAAGGCACUUCCCUCGUCAGCCCAUCCUCUGCAAAGCUACUAAAAUGAUGUUACUAAAGAACAAGUUUCAUCACGUCCUGCUAUCCUGCUCAAAAUCCAUCAAAGGCUCCCUGUUACCUUUAGAAUAAAAGAUAAACUCUUCAGUUUGCAUUUAAA